rnacentral:tRNA from 1 species
GUCCCCAUAGUUUAAUGGAUAGAAUACCAGCCUCCGAAGUUGGUGGUCCAGGUUCGAUUCCUGGUGAGGACACAA